CACAGCUGUACAACUGGGGUGACAAUAUGAUAGAUUCAUUAUGUUCUGCAAUAAAAGGCCUAUGAAGACAAUAAACUGCAGAGCCACCAACAGUCUGAGAUGGUCUGUGAGUCAAGACUGAAACUGCAAUCACUUGUUUUAAAUGCAAGAAGACCGGGAACUGAUGAAGAGUCUGGACUCACGGAAUGUGGCAGAGCCCAAACCUUUUAAUUUACAGUACUAAACUCUAUUUUGUGAUUUGAGGGGCCUCUAUUAAUAAAUGACCGUGUGAUAUGGAUGUUGUUAUCCUAAGAGAGUGUUGGAGAAGUAUUCCUGAGGACCCUAGAAGAGAAGGUAAAAACAGAGUGUGGGAUGCAUGUAGGCCCACCCCAGGCCAGGAGGGGGUACUCGAAGAUGGCAACUGUACGUCAUGGACCUAUUAGAAAAUAUGUGACUUGCCCCGUACAACAUAUACCAGCUCAUCUGGUUUGAACAUAAAA